CAGUAGCCGCGGGAAUACGUAGGGUGCAAACGUUAAUCGGAAUUACUGGGCGUAAAGCGUGCGCAGGCGGUUCGCUAAGACAGAUGUGAAAUCCCCGGGCUUAACCUGGGAACUGCAUUUGUGACUGGCGGGCUAGAGUAUGGCAGAGGGGGGUAAAAUUCCACGUGUAGCAGUGAAAUACGUAGAGAUGUGGAGGAAUACCGAUGGCGAAGGCAGCCCCCUGGGCCAAUUCUGACGCUCAUGCACGAAAGCGUGGGGAGCAAACAGGAUUAGAUACCCGCGUAGUCCCUGUCUCUUAUAC
rnacentral:rRNA from 1 species